CGUAGGCGAUGGGAAACAGGUUAAUAUUCCUGUACUUGGUGUUACUGCGAAGGGGGGACGGAGAAGGCUAUGUUAGCCGGGCGACGGUUGUCCCGGUUUAAGCAUGUAGGCUGGUUGUCCAGGCAAAUCCGGAUAAUCAAGGCUGAGGUGUGAUGACGAGGCACUACGGUGCUGAAGUAACAAAUGCCCUGCUUCCAGGAAAAGCCUCUAAGCAUCAGGUAACAUCAAAUCGUACCCCAAACCGACACAGGUGGUCAGGUAGAGAAUACCAAGGCGCUUGAGAGAACUCGGGUGAAGGAACUAGGCAAAAUGGUGCCGUAACUUCGGGAGAAGGCACGCUGGUGUGUAGGUGAAGUCCCUGCGGAUGGAGCUGAGACCAGUCGAAGAUACCAGCUGGCUGCAACUGUUUAUU
rnacentral:rRNA from 13 species